rnacentral:rRNA from 1 species
UGGGGAAUAUUGGACAAUGGGCGCAAGCCUGAUCCAGCCAUGCCGCGUGUGUGAAGAAGGUCUUCGGAUUGUAAAGCACUUUAAGUUGGGAGGAAGGGCAGUAAGCGAAUACCUUGCUGUUUUGACGUUACCGACAGAAUAUGCACCGGCUAACUCUGUGCCAGCAGCCGCGGUAAUACAGAGGGUGCAAGCGUUAAUCGGAAUUACUGGGCGUAAAGCGCGCGUAGGUGGUUCGUUAAGUUGAAUGUGAAAGCCCCGGGCUCAACCUGGGAACUGCAUUCAAAACUGGCGAGCUAGAGUAGGGCAGAGGGUGGUGGAAUUUCCUGUGUAGCGGUGAAAUGCGUAGAUAUAGGAAGGAACACCAGUGGCGAAGGCGACCACCUGGGCUCAUACUGACACUGAGGUGCGAAAGCGUGGGGAGCAAACAGG